rnacentral:rRNA from 1 species
AUACGGAGGGUGCAAGCGUUGUUCGGAAUCACUGGGCGUAAAGGGCGCGUAGGCGGUUUGAUAAGUCAGAUGUGAAAGCCCACGGCUUAACUGUGGAAGUGCAUUUGAAACUGUCAGACUUGAGUAUCAGAGGGGAAAGUGGAAUUCCCGGUGUAGAGGUGAAAUUCGUAGAUAUCGGGAGGAAUACCGGUGGCGAAGGCGACUUUCUGGCUGAAUACUGACGCUGAGGCGCGAAAGCGUGGGGAGC